CCUACGGGAGGCAGCAGUGGGGAAUAUUGCACAAUGGGCGCAAGCCUGAUGCAGCAACGCCGCGUGAGGGACGACGGCCUUCGGGUUGUAAACCUCUUUUAGUAGGGAAGAAGCGAAAGUGACGGUACCUGCAGAAAAAGCACCGGCUAGCUACGUGCCAGCAGCCGCGGUAAUACGUAGGGUGCAAGCGUUGUCCGGAAUUAUUGGGCGUAAAGAGCUCGUAGGCGGUUUGUCGCGUCUGCUGUGAAAACCCGAGGCUCAACCUCGGGCCUGCAGUGGGUACGGGCAGACUAGAGUGCGGUAGGGGAGAUUGGAAUUCCUGGUGUAGCGGUGGAAUGCGCAGAUAUCAGGAGGAACACCGAUGGCGAAGGCAGAUCUCUGGGCCGUAACUGACGCUGAGGAGCGAAAGCAUGGGGAGCGAACAGGAUUAGAUACCCUGGUAGUCCAUGCCGUAAACGUUGGGAACUAGAUGUAGGGACCAUUCCACGGUUUCUGUGUCGCAGCUACGACAUUAACGUUACCCGUCCGUCGGGAGGUACGGCCGCGACGGACGUAAACUACGAAGGAAGUUAGACGGCGUGAGACGUGCCGAACGACGACGACGAGGGAGUAGG
rnacentral:rRNA from 1 species